AUGGGCGGAUCUGCUGAUCCCGAGGAGCCGGCGCCGACGCCGACGCCGUCCCCGGCGAAGCCGUCGCCCUCGUCGUCCGACGCGAAGCGGCUCAGGCGGUGCGUGCAGUCGCGGCUCCCGUUUGGGUCGGGCAGGCCGGGCGGCGGCGGCGCAGGGGUCGCCCCUCCCGCGCCCGCGGCGGAGGAGGCGGCUGGGAAGGAGGCCGCGGAGGAGCCGGAGAAAGGCAAGAGGAAGGCGAGGCCGCGGAGAUCAGCGGCCGCCAGGAAGCCAUCUUCAAAUAAAGAGACAACUGGGUUGGAUCCAGGUAGCAAGGAUGAAGUUACUUUGGUUGAUGAGAGCCCUCAGAAAAAGCAGCGGAAAGGUAGAAAUCAAGAUGCAGCACGGAAGGCGCCUAAUAGAAAGCGCUGCAAGGUGUUGGAAUCUCCUGAUGGCCACGUAGGCUGUCAGCAACUGCAUAGCAGUCAGACUGAAGCUACCUUACCUGAAGGAUCUCCUGUCAAAAUUGAUAUAGAUCUGAAUAAUGUGCCUUCUGAGGCAACACAGCCUAAUGCCAACGAUGUAUUAGACAACGAAGAUAAGUCACAGGUGAUAGUUGACCUAAGGUCAGAGGCAAAAAUAGCUGCACAGGAAAUCCGGAUGUUAUCAUCUGGAAAGAAAUUGCAUCCAUUUUUUGCUUCCCGGAAAGUAAACAAAGGUGCUGAACAAGAUGCAUUCAAUAUCAAGGAUACAAAUUCCCUUUGUGCUAUUGAGAGGGACCCACCACUCUGGCCUGUUCAUGUCGUGUACCAAUUGGAGACUGCCAUACCAAUUCAUUGGAGUAAAUGGCUAAUUUGGGAGGGAUCUUUUCUUGAUACCAGUGCCUCCGAUACACUUGAAAAUCCUGUCUCAUUCUUUGAGGGCUUUGUGAAACCUUUGACAAUAGAGUCUAAUUCCAAGAGGAUGUGCCUAGAUCAGUUGGCUGAGCAGAAUAUUGCAAAUCACACAGCUUUGGGAAUGGAUUUUCCUAGCUUUCCUAAAGAACAAAGUGAAAGCAAUCUAUCUUCUUUGGAUGUGAUCCAUCUUGAUGAAGAGAGCUCUCCUCAUGAUUCUCUUUCCUAUAACAAACACCUGGAAAGGAUACUGCAAGGAAGGCCAGAAGUCGACCAGAAAGGCAGCUGUCACCCGGCUUAUUACCUGUGGACUGACAAGUACCGGCCUGAAACUGCUGCCCAGGUCUGUGGAAAUAUUGAGCAUGUAAAGUUUCUCAGUGAAUGGCUCAAAGGGUGGGAUGAAAGAGGCCACAAGAGCAAGCAAACUGGAGUUGCUAAUGAGAGCAUCAAUGCCAGCUUCUGUCAAGAUGAAUCUGACACAGAUUGUUCAGAAGAUGCUUCUGAUUAUGAAAAUGUACUUCUAAUUACUGGACCAGUUGGGUGUGGAAAAUCAGCCGCAGUUUUUGCUUGUGCGAGAGAACAUGGGUUCAAUGUAAUUGAGGUAAAUACAUCUGAUAUGAGAAAUGGGGCGUAUGUAAAGCAAAAGUUUGAGGAAGCAACUAAAUCACAUGGCCUUGAAAAGUGGUCACAAGAGGAGGUCACCACUCCACCAAGAAUCGAUUCUUUAGAUCCAGCUUUAGAGACACCUGAUAGGACUGAAUACAAGCAUUCAGUAUCCUGCUCUACAAGAAAAGCAUCUAACGAUGAUGAACAUAUGCUACCUGUAAAAUGCUACUCAAGUUCAAAGCUGAGUGAUGAAGCCCCUAAACAAGUUAUUAACAAGACACUUAUCCUAUUUGAGGAUGUGGAUACUGUCUUUGAUGAGGAUCGUGGAUUUAUUUCGACCAUACUUAAGAUUGCAGAGACUACAAGAUGGCCAAUUAUACUGACCAGCAACAAGAAGGAUCCAGCUUUGCCUCAUCUCUUGGAUCAGCUAGUUUUGGAUUUCAAAUACCCAUCAUCCGGAGAGCUACUUUCACAUGUUGGCAUGAUCUGUAAAUCUGAGGGAGUGGACGUCACUGCUCCUCAAUUGAAGUAUUUUAUCAAUGCUUGUUUAGGGGAUAUUAGGAGGACAACAAUGCUUUUGCAAUUUUGGUAUCAAGGCAAGCAGGAAUACACAGAGAGGUCAAACAAAUGCUUGUCUGUUCCUUUUUCACUUGACUUGGAUGCAGUACAUUCUACCGUGCCAAGAAUGUUGCCUUGGGACUUCCCCUGUAAAUUAUCAGAAACAGUGUGCUUAGAGAUAGAAAAAACAAUCCAUUUAGCUGAAGAAAAGAAAAGGCAGAUGGAAUUAUCAGAGUUUGAAGCCUUGGAGUUACAAAUAAUAGCACCUCUGACCAAGGGAAGAAGUGCAGUUAAAACAAGAAAGAUUAAAAAAUCCAAGUUAAAGCAUGGCCACACUACUGAAUGUAAUGAUAUUUCACCUUGUAAGAAUGAUCUUGAUGAUUUUGAUGAUGCUCCAGAUACCUCUCUUCUGUCUGAUCAACAAAAAGCAAGAAAGAAGCAUGGUGUAGUGUUAUUAUCUGAGUCCGAUGAUGAUCAAGCGGAUGCAUAUAUUGCCAAAGAUGCCAGAUUUACUGUGCCAGAAGGUGAUUUAUUCCCACAACCUCCAGAAGUGCCCCAUAUACAUGGGCAAGGAAUCUCAAAUCAGUUUUGUUUUCCAAGCGAAUCAAGGGAGACUUUUGAAAUAACUAAUUCUUUCCAAAACCAGUUCGAGAGCAACUUGGUUGGGUCCAUUUCACAAAUAUGUGAUACUUUUAUGUCACAAGGCGUGUCGUGUGUGCCUGAGUCAUCCCUCGCAGUUGGAGGUGUUUCUGCAUCUGUUAGCAGCGAUGACCUUUUAUCAAGUAUGGUGUUCAAUGGCUUGUCUACCUUUAAUAAUGAUGGUGUUUGCACUACGCCUAUGACGGCACUAGAAGACAGCAACCAUGCGAGGAAUCUAAUGUCUGGAUCGCAGAAAUGCAUGGAAGAUGUGGUUGGUGAGACAUGUGAAGCUUAUGCAGAAUCAUUUGGCAGGAAUGAACAGGAAAGUUGUUCAACUACGGGGUAUCAACUGAUGGAUGAAUGCAGUCGAGCUGAUAGCAUUUGGCUGCUUUCUGGCAAAAAGACUAGCGACUCUUGCAAGGUUGAACGUGUACAAGAUACUUGGAACAGGCUACGUCGUUGCUGUCCUGUACUUCCCUGUGAGACCAAUCACAAUAGAACUGCUUCUGGAGCUUUGAAGCUUGCUUCCCGUGUGUCUGAUUUAAUAUCGGAAUCAGAUCUUAUGCUCACCCGCUGCUACCCUCUUACCAAUGACAUUUUGGAUCCAUCUUCAUCCCCGAGUGCUGAGCCUGAUGACCUCUCCUGGUACGAUAAGCAGCUUGAGAUGGGAUCUGUCUAUGCGCAGCAUGCUCUUUGCGUUUUCUCAAGGGACUUCCAAGAUAAGGAGGAUGGUUCCAUUGAUUUGUCACAAGAGUUGUUGUUUGCCAGUACAACUGCCACAUCUCUUGGUAAACUUAUUAGUUCAGGAAUCAACAGUGAUGAUGGAUAUGGGAACAUUUCCCACAUGAAAAAUCCAACAAGCUGUAUUUCUAAGGGGAGGGAGCAACUAGUUCAUCUUUGUGACGCACUGCUUCCAGUAGUUCCUUCCAAGCUAUCUCUAUCACUGAGAGGACCCGCUUUUGUUGAUUAUUUAUCUUCGACUUGUCAGAUUUCGCAGUUAGAAAACUUGCGACUUACUGACAGUGAAGUUGCAAACAAGCAAAGAAGGUGUCGUCAGUCAAGACAUUACUUAAGUUCUGCUGCACUUUCGAUGUCACCUGAAGGCAUCGAAUUGUUAGCACAAAGCAGCCGUUUUGGUGAUAGGCGCGAGAAGUUUAUAGACCAGACGAUUGCCUAG
rnacentral:rRNA from 1 species